GACGAACGCUGGCGGCGUGCUUAACACAUGCAAGUCGAACGGAAAGGCCCUGCUUUUGUGGGGUGCUCGAGUGGCGAACGGGUGAGUAACACGUGAGUAACCUGCCCUUGUCUUUGGGAUAACUUCAGGAAACUGGGGCUAAUACCGGAUAGGAGCUCCUGCUGCACGGUGGUGGUUGGAAAGUUUCGGCGGUUGGGGAUGGACUCGCGGCUUAUCAGCUUGUUGGUGUGGUAGUGGCUUACCAAGGCUUUGACGGGUAGCCGGCCUGAGAGGGUGACCGGCCACAUGGGGACUGAGAUACGGCCCAGACUCCUACGGGAGGCAGCAGUGGGGAAUAUUGCAGAAUGGGCGGAAGCCUGAUGCAGCAACGCCGCGUGCGGGAUGACGGCCUUCGGGUUGUAAACCGCUUUCGCCUGUGACGAAGCGUGAGUGACGGUAAUGGGUAAAGAAGCACCGGCUAACUACGUG
rnacentral:rRNA from 1 species